rnacentral:siRNA from 1 species
CUUGAGAUUCUUGUGCAGUGGA